UUCCGCCCGAGCCCAACUUUCAUCUGCCCAAGACUACAUUGCUGAAAUCGAAGGUCGGAUGAAAUCCUACGAGGAUAAGCUGGCCGAACAGGCUCGUGAACUUAGGGAAGCUUGGUCGCUUCGAACUGCCGACGUCGCUCGUCUUACUGAGGAGCUCAAAGCGAAGGAAGAAGAGGCUGUGACGAGGGAAGUUGGUGCUUAUGUGAAUGCACACAGCGAUCUUUUGGCCAAGCUCGAGAGGCGUUAUCUUGGGGAAGACUUCUCCUGGAUGGUGGAUUU
rnacentral:misc_RNA from 1 species